GAAUCUCCCGGGCUACACGCGCGCUACAAAGGAUAGGACAAUGGGAUGCAAUACCGAGAGGUAACGCGAACCCCGAAACCUAUUCGUAGUUCGAACUGAGGGCUGUAACUCGCCCUCACGAAGCUGGAUUCCGUAGUAAUCGCGGGUCAACAUCCCGCGGUGAAUAUGCCCCUGCUCUUU
rnacentral:rRNA from 1 species